GGUGGCCCUUCGUGUGGCGUUUAUCCUGCGAAUCCCCCAGGACCGGAAGGUAGCAAGGGUAAGGAGGCUCUGGCGGGUGCACGGAGGGUCCUUCCU
rnacentral:SRP_RNA from 1 species